CAAUAGCGUAUAUUAAAGUUGUUGCAGUUAAAAAGCUCGUAGUCUGACCGUUGUCCUGGCAUUGAGCGUCCGUGGUUACUGAUCAUGUGUACGCGAGGUGCUGGACACUACCUUCGGAGGAGCGUUCGUGCUUUUAACUAAGUGCGUGCGGGAUUCCGAUAGUUUACUUUGAGAAAAAUAGAGUGUUCAAAGCAGGCGUUUGCCUUGAAUACAUUAGCAUGGGAUAAUGAAAUAGGACGUUGGUUCUAUUUUGUUGGUUUCUAGGACCGAAGUAAUGAUUAAUAGGGACAGUUGGGGGCAUUAGUAUUUAAUUGUCAGAGGUGAAAUUCUUGGAUUUAUGAAAGACUAACUACUGCGAAAGCAUUUGCCAAGGAUGUUUUUCAUUAAUCAAGAACGAAAGUUAGGGGAUCGAAGAUGAUCAGAU
rnacentral:rRNA from 1 species